rnacentral:tRNA from 1 species
UGUUUUGUGGCUUAGUUGAUAGAAGCGCCAAACUAGCGAUACGAAGUUGCGGGUUCGAAUCCCACAGAAACAA